rnacentral:lncRNA from 1 species
GGCCCUCGUCAUUUCGAGCUUUAGCUUGAUACAACCACAAUCACCCAAAUAAAAUUGGAUAUGACAAUAUAGAGCUUUGCAAUCAAAAAAUAAUAUAAUAAAUUUUGUAGAUAAUCUUUGCAAUUAUUGUAUCAAUAUUUCGUAAAAUAUCCAUAGGUUUAACUCGAUUGGAGUCAGCCAUUCUCAAAACUACUAUAGUAGGCAAUAAGUGAUCCAAAUCCAACUCCU